AAUGACGCGAAACUCCUGCCUUAAAGCCCUAAAUGGCGGCUUCAAUAUCAGCCCCACUGAGCAUGAAAUUCAUUUACUUAAAUAAAAUCUGAAUCUCAGCCCAAACCUGGGAGAUUCAAAACCUGAGAGCGGUCUUACCAAAGACGCCCGUAUGUCUGGUGAAGUCAGUUGGAUGCAAGCAGUUUGUGCUGGUACCAGGGCCCCAGCUACUGAUGAAGUGGCAGGAGUCCACGGAAGCCUACUUCGAAGUUCCCGGGGCUUCCAGGGGAGAUUGACGAGAUUCCUGGGGAGGCGAUUCAUGACAGCUGAGUUCCUUUUGGAGGAUCCGUCUUCAGGCAGUCUGAUCCCCCAGGAAAGCAGCUGGAAAACAAGAGCAUGUGAAGGAAGCGCGGCAGCUCCUCGCCAGCCAGCCAGCCAGCCCCGCACCACAGGAGUCGACAUGCACGGCAGCCUAGACGCCAUCAGUUAAACUUAUAUGUAGGCUUGUUGAGGAAAACGACUUUCAAACACAAGGCAAAAGAAAAACAUGAAACCAAGGGUUCCAACAUUCAUCACCCAGUUUCAGAGACACCCUUGUAGGAAUGCUACAGCCUCUUUCUUACCCAUUCAAACCAGUCGCUCUGCUGCAUACCCACAUCACAGGAGGCCCUCAGCCCCGACACACAGGCUCACUCAGCCCAGACACACAGGCUCACUCAGCCCAGGGACAUCAGCACCUGUGCCAGCUCCGCAAGGUAUCCACCACGUGGCCAGAACUGAGGCCCAGCAAUAGCUGAAAUGUCCUUUAAAUUAACAUGUACAACACACAACCCCCAAGAGCUGACAUCCCCAAAGCCCCACCACAAAUAGCUGACUCCUACUUAUACCUGCAGGAGCAGGUACUGACCUCUGCAAUUCUAAACCGUCCACUUUGGGCAAAAUUCAUCAAGCUAUGGAUAUGAAAAAAGGCCCCCAAGGAUAUGAUUCAUAGUCCAGCGUUUGAGUGAGCACUCCAGUCAGAACGAACUCUGCAUUGUGAACAUCUGAACAGGGUGGAAACAGACACUUGUUAGAGAUCCACUGCUGUGCGUGCACACAUACUCACACAGGGCAAUGACGGACUCGCUGGCGGACUCCACUCUACCCACCGAGUUCUGCUUGUGCUCCAUGAGCUUCCGGAAAGAUGGCUGCUUGGAUAACACCUUUCCUCCUGCACACUCUACAAUUGCCUUCAUAGUGGAAAGACUUGGGCAGAUUCCAGGUGUGAUGUAAAAAUAUUUUGCCUAAAAUUAAAUGAAAAUAUAUG
rnacentral:antisense_RNA from 1 species